rfam:Candidatus Woesebacteria bacterium RBG_13_46_13 RBG_13_scaffold_2, whole genome shotgun sequence.
GCCGAGGUGGCGGAACGGUAGACGCACAGGACUUAAAAUCCUGAGACCCAUUUGGGUCGUGGGGGUUCGACUCCCUUCCUCGGCA